rnacentral:lncRNA from 1 species
GCAGAAUGCCCUGACAUGUAGGACAUAAAAUUGUACUCCCUGUUGCAUAUUUUGUUUUCUCUAGAUGUGUAACCAGUGGGUUGCUCUCACUAUGGAUGGAUGUGGAAAAGUCCUGUGCAAAGUUUAGCUGAGUCUAAACAUCCAUAACCGUGUAAUCACAGAGGAAUGGUUGCAGCCAGUAAGAUAUAAUAGAUUCAAGCUUGAAGCAAACCUGUUCUUUCCGCUUCUCAUGUGUGGAGAAACAGGCCAAUAUCUGGCAAUGAAAACUGGACAGAUGGGUCGAGCUUGCCAUCCUGUUCAUCAUACUAAAGCAACAGAGAAUUAUUCAAACUCUGCUACUUUCAGCACUAAGAUAGGCUCCUUUAUUUUCAUAAUGGAACUAAAAUAACUUGGCAGUCUGACUGAGUUAGUUCACAAACCCAGAUUCUUCCAGUGUAUAUUUUAUCUUUUCACUACAUUGUUAUGGACAAGAUCUUCAGUUAAGGGGCAGAAACAGCACUGAAUUUAACACAAAAUACUGCAGUAAAGGUCUUGCUUGUGGAGACCUGUCUUGGAAGUGCUCUGUGACAAUCUCAGCCUUUUAGCCACAUAAUUACUGCUCCAAAAGCUUCAUCAUUGCAAUAAAAAUUUAUGUUGUUCCUCUAUUGUAAAUACG